CCUCCAGACUCCUACGGGAGGCAGCAGUGAGGAAUAUUGGUCAAUGGGCUUACGCCUGAACCAGCCAAGUCGCGUGAGGGAAGACUGCCCUAUGGGUUGUAAACCUCUUUUGUCAGGGAGCAACGCCGGCUACGUGUAGCCGGACUGAGAGUACCUGAAGAAAAAGCAUCGGCUAACUCCGUGCCAGCAGCCGCGGUAAUACGGAGGAUGCGAGCGUUAUCCGGAUUUAUUGGGUUUAAAGGGUGCGUAGGCGGAAUGCCAAGUCAGCGGUCAAAUACGGGGGCUCAACCUGCGUCCGCCGUUGAAACUGGCGUUCUUGAGUGGGCGAGAAGUACGCGGAAUGCGCGGUGUAGCGGUGAAAUGCUUAGAUAUCGCGCAGAACCCCGAUUGCGAAGGCAGCGUACCGGCUCCACACUGACGCUGAGGCACGAAAGCGUGGGUAUCGAACAGGAUUAGAUACCCCCGUA
rnacentral:rRNA from 1 species